rnacentral:rRNA from 1 species
UCCGGGAAACCGGGGCUAAUACCGGAUGCUUGUUUGAACCGCAUGGUUCAAACAUAAAAGGUGGCUUCGGCUACCACUUACAGAUGGACCCGCGGCGCAUUAGCUAGUUGGUGAGGUAAUGGCUCACCAAGGCAACGAUGCGUAGCCGACCUGAGAGGGUGAUCGGCCACACUGGGACUGAGACACGGCCCAGACUCCUACGGGAGGCAGCAGUAGGGAAUCUUCCGCAAUGGACGAAAGUCUGACGGAGCAACGCCGCGUGAGUGAUGAAGGUUUUCGGAUCGUAAAGCUCUGUUGUUAGGGAAGAACAAGUGCCGUUCAAAUAGGGCGGCACCUUGACGGUACCUAACCAGAAAGCCACGGCUAACUACGUGCCAGCAGCCGCGGUAAUACGUAGGUGGCAAGCGUUGUCCGGAAUUAUUGGGCGUAAAGGGCUCGCAGGCGGUUUCUUAA